GCAUAUCCUUCAGCCCGAGCCAGCAAAUCAGCAAAAUUCCUGGGGUACUUCUUCUCCAGGGAGAACAAAAGGUCAUUCUUCUGAAGGGCGACUGAUUGGUCCAAAUUCUGGACCUCCAGCGCCACGACGUUGAAACGGUUGAUGUAGGCCCGAAUGGACUCCCCUUCCUUCUGCUUGAUAUUGAUGAGGGACUCUGAACCCUUUCGGGGGCAUCGGCUGCUGACAAAAUGGGCCACAAAUUGGUGGCUCAUUUGAUCGAAGGAAAAGAUGGUACCCGGUUUCAAAGCCGAGUACCAGUUUCUCGCCGCUCCCUUCAAGGUGGACGGGAAGGCCUGGCAUAGAAUGGC
rnacentral:lncRNA from 1 species